AGCGAACGCUGGCGGCGUGCUUAACACAUGCAAGUCGAACGUGAACGGGCUUCGGCCUUAGUAAAGUGGCGUACGGGUGAGUAACACGUAGGUAAUCUACCUUAGAGUCUGGAAUAACCUGGCCGAAAGGCGGGCUAAUACUGGAUAGAGCGACGGAAUCCGUAAUGGGUUUUCGGAAAGGAGCUUGAUAAGAGCCCUCGCUUUAAGAUGAGCCUGCGUCUGAUUAGCUAGUUGGUGGGGUAAUGGCCCACCAAGGCGAUGAUCAGUAGCUGGUCUGAGAGGAUGAUCAGCCACACUGGAACUGAAACACGGUCCAGACUCCUACGGGAGGCAGCAGUGGGGAAUCUUGCGCAAUGGACGAAAGUCUGACGCAGCCACGCCGCGUGAGUGAAGAAGGCCUC
rnacentral:rRNA from 1 species